rnacentral:rRNA from 1 species
GUAGGUGGCAAGCGUUGUCCGGAAUUAUUGGGCGUAAAGCGCGCGCAGGUGGUUCUUUAAGUCUGAUGUGAAAGCCCCCGGCUCAACCGGGGAGGGUCAUUGGAGACUGGGGAACUUGAGUGCAGGAGAGGAAAGUGGAAUUCCACGUGUAGCGGUGAAAUGCGUAGAUAUGUGGAGGAACACCAGUGGCGAAGGCGACUUUCUGGCCUGUAACUGACACUGAGGCGCGAAAGCGUGGGGAGCAAACAGGGAUUAGAUACCCUGGUAGUCCACGCCGUAAACGAUGAGUGCUAAGUGUUGGGGGGGUUUCCGCCCCCUCAGUGCUGCAGCUAACGCAUUAAGCACUCCGCCUGGGAGUACGGUCGCAAGACUG